rnacentral:rRNA from 1 species
UGUGGCCUACGGGAGGCAGCAGUGGGGAAUAUUGCACAAUGGGGGGAACCCUGAUGCAGCGACGCCGCGUGGGUGAAGAAGCGCCUCGGCGCGUAAAGCCCUGUCAGCAGGGAAGAAAAUGACGGUACCUGAAGAAGAAGCCCCGGCUAACUACGUGCCAGCAGCCGCGGUAAUACGUAGGGGGCAAGCGUUAUCCGGAUUUACUGGGUGUAAAGGGAGCGUAGACGGCAUUGCAAGUCCGGAGUGAAAGCUCACGGCCCAACCGUGGGACUGCUCUGGAAACUGUAGAGCUG